rnacentral:rRNA from 1 species
CCUACGGGAGGCAGCAGUGGGGAAUAUUGCACAAUGGGCGCAAGCCUGAUGCAGCGACGCCGCGUGAGGGAUGACGGCCUUCGGGUUGUAAACCUCUUUCAGCAGGGACGAAGCGCAAGUGACGGUACCUGCAGAAGAAGCACCGGCCAACUACGUGCCAGCAGCCGCGGUAAUACGUAGGGUGCAAGCGUUGUCCGGAAUUACUGGGCGUAAAGAGCUCGUAGGCGGUUUGUCGCGUCGUCUGUGAAAACCAGCAGCUCAACUGUUGGCUUGCAGGCGAUACGGGCAGACUUGAGUAUUUCAGGGGAGACUGGAAUUCCUGGUGUAGCGGUGAAAUGCGCAGAUAUCAGGAGGAACACCGGUGGCGAAGGCGGGUCUCUGGGAAAUAACUGACGCUGAGGAGCGAAAGCGUGGGUAGCGAACAGGAUUAGAUACCCUGGUAGUCCACGCCGUAAACGGUGGGCGCUAGGUGUGGGUUUCCUUCCACGGGAUCCGUGCCGUAGCUAACGCAUUAAGCGCCCCGCCUGGGGAGUACGGCCGCAAGGCUAAAACUCAAAGGAAAUUGACGG